CUCAGGGAGGUAGUGACAAGAAAUAACAACACUGGAAAUUUUAUUUCUAGUGAUUGGAAUGAUGGGAAUUUAAACCCCUUUCAGAGUAACAAUUGGAGGGCAAGUCUGGUGCCAGCAGCCGCGGUAAUUCCAGCUCCAAUAGCGUAUAUUAAAGUUGUUGCAGUUAAAAAGCUCGUAGUUGGAUGUCUGCUGGAAGCAAUCAGUCCGCCCUAUUUGUAGGGUGUGCACUUGAUGAAUUCUGGCAUCUAURUCCCAAUAAUAUGAUGGUGUAUACCCUGUGUACACCCAUCUAUAUUGGGAUAAUACCGUUACUUUGAGAAAAUUAGAGUGUUUGAAGCAGGCUAAUUGCCUUGAAUACUGCAGCAUGGAAUAACAAUAUAGGAUUUCGGUUCUAUUUUGUUGGUUUCUAGGACUGAAAUAAUGAUUAAUAGGGACAGUUGGGGGCAUUCGUAUUUAACUGUCAGAGGUGAAAUUCUUAGAUUUGUUAAAGACGAACUACUGCGAAAGCAUUUGCCAAAGAUGUUUUCAUUAAUCAAGAACGAAAGUUAGGGGCUCGAAGACGAUCAGAUACCGUCGUAGUCUUAACCAUAAACUAUGCCGACUAGAGAUAGGAAAAUGUCAUUUUUCUGACUU
rnacentral:rRNA from 1 species